rnacentral:rRNA from 1 species
UUUGAUCGGAAUAAAUAUAAAUUCUUUUCUUAUUUCUAUUUUAUGAUUGACCAAUAUAAACAUCAACAACUUCAAAUUGGACUCGUUUCCCCUCAACAAAUAAAGGCUUGGGCUAACAAAAACCUACCUAAUGGAGAAGUCGUUGGCGAAGUC